GACGAACGCUGGCGGCGUGCUUAACACAUGCAAGUCGAACGUGAUUUUUGUGGAAAUUCUUUCGGGAAUGGAAAUGAAAUGAAAGUGGCGAACGGGGGAGUAACACGUGAGCACCCGACCGUACACAGGGGGAGAGACGUGGGAAACGACGAUUAAUACCGCAUGAGACCACAGAAUCGCAGGAUAUAGGGGGCAAAGAGUUAUCGGUGUAAGAAGGGAUCGCGUCUGAUUAGCUAGUUGGAAGGGUAAAGGCCUACCAAGGCGACGAUGAGUAGCCGGUCUGAGAGGAUGAACGGCCACAUUGGAACUGAGACCCGGUCCAAACUCCUACGGGAGGCAGCAGUGGGGAAUAUUGCACAAUGUGGGGAACCCUGAUGCCGCGACGCCGCGUGAGCGAAGAAGGUUUUCGAAUCGUAAAUCUCUGUCCUAUGAGAAGAUAAUGACGGUAGCAUAGGAGGAAGCCCCGGCUAAAUACGUG
rnacentral:rRNA from 1 species